rnacentral:rRNA from 1 species
UGGGGAAUAUUGCACAAUGGGCGAAAGCCUGAUGCAGCAACGCCGCGUGAGUGAUGAAGGUCUUCGGAUUGUAAAGCUCUGUCUUUUGGGACGAUAAUGACGGUACCAAAGGAGGAAGCCACGGCUAACUACGUGCCAGCAGCCGCGGUAAUACGUAGGUGGCGAGCGUUGUCCGGAUUUACUGGGCGUAAAGGGUGCGUAGGCGGAUGUUUAAGUGAGAUGUGAAAUACCCGGGCUUAACUUGGGUGCUGCAUUUCAAACUGGAUAUCUAGAGUGCAGGAGAGGAGAAUGGAAUUCCUAGUGUAGCGGUGAAAUGCGUAGAGAUUAGGAAGAACACCAGUGGCGAAGGCGAUUCUCUGGACUGUAACUGACGCUGAGGCACGAAAGCGUGGGUAGCAAACAGGAUUAGAUACCCUGGUAUCCACGCCGUAAACGAUGAGUACUAGGUGUAGGAGGUAUCGACCCCUUCUGUGCCGCAGUAAACACAUUAAGUACUCCGCCUGGGAAGUACGAUCGCAAGAUUAAAACUCUAAAGUGAAUUGACGGGGUC